rnacentral:rRNA from 1 species
UACGAAGGGUGCAAGCGUUACUCGGAAUUACUGGGCGUAAAGCGUGCGUAGGUGGUGAGUUAAGUCUGUCGUGAAAGCCCCGGGCUCAACCUGGGAAUGGCGAUGGAUACUGGCUCGCUAGAGUGCGGUAGAGGAGAGUGGAAUUCCACGUGUAGCAGUGAAAUGCGUAGAGAUGUGGAGGAACACCGGAGGCGGAAGGCGGGUCUGCUGGGACCGGUAACGUGACGCUGGAGGAGCGAAAAGCGU